rnacentral:rRNA from 1 species
GAUGUGAAAGCCUUCGGCUCAACCGAAGAAGUGCAUCGGAAACUAGGGAAACUUGAGUGCAGAAGAGGACAGUGGAACUCCAUGUGUAGCGGUGAAAUGCGUAGAUAUAUGGAAGAACACCAGUGGCGAAGGCGGCUGUCUGGUCUGUAACUGACGCUGAGGCUCGAAAGUAUGGGUAGCAAACAGGAUUAGAUACCCUGGUAG